rnacentral:rRNA from 1 species
GUCUUUCUGAUUUAUAUUGAAUUUAACUUUUGUGUGAAAAGGCAUUAAUGGUUUAAAGGGACGAUAAGACCCUAUAAAACUUUAUAUAUUAUAUUAUUUAACUAAAAUGUUAUAUUAAUCGUUAGAUAGUUAAUUGUAUUUUGCUGGGGCGGCAAAAAUAUAACUGUAACUGUUUAAGAUAUGAAAUAUUUAUUAAUAAAAAAUGGUCCUUUAUUAAGGAGAUAAGAGUAAGUUACUUUAGGGAUAACAGCAUAAUUUCUUUAGAGAGUUCUUAUCGAAGAAGUUAGUUGUGACCUCGAUGUUGAAUUAAAUUUUUCCUUUAGGUGUAGGAGUUUUAAAAGGAAGGGCCUGUUCGGCCUAUAAAUAUUUACAUGA